rnacentral:rRNA from 1 species
CCUACGGUAGGCAGCAGUGAGGAAUAUUGGUCAAUGGGCUUACGCCUGAACCAGCCAAGUCGCGUGAGGGAAGACUGCCCUAUGGGUUGUAAACUUCUUUUGUCAGGGAAGAGUAGAAGACGGUACCUGACGACUAAGCCUCGGCUAACUACGUGCCAGCCGCCGCGGUAAUACGUAGGUGGCAAGCGUUGUCCGGCUGUACUGGGUGUAAAGGGCGUGUAGCCGGGUUGACAAGUCAGAUGUGAAAUCCUGCGGCUUAACCGCAGAACUGCAUUUGAAACUGUUGAUCUUGAGUACUGGAGAGGCAGACGGAAUUACUAGUGUAGCGGUGAAAUGCGUAGAUAUUAGGAGGAACACCAGUGGCGAAGGCGGUCUGCUGGACAGCAACUGACGGUGAGGCGCGAAAGCGUGGGGAGCAAACAGGAUUAGAUACCCCGGUAGUC